rnacentral:rRNA from 1 species
UACGUAGGGUGCAGGCGUUAAUCGGAAUUACUGGGCGUAAAGCGUGCGCAGGCGGUUUCUUAAGUCAGAUGUGAAAGCCCCGGGCUUAACCUGGGAACUGCGUUUGAAACUGGGAGACUUGAGUGUGGCAGAGGGGGGUGGAAUUCCACGUGUAGCAGUGAAAUGCGUAGAUAUGUGGAGGAACACCGAUGGCGAAGGCAGCCCCCUGGGCCAAUACUGACGCUCAUGCACGAAAGCGUGGGGAGCAAACAGG